CAUUGCUCUGACCACGUGUUAUCAACCCCGUGACAGUCCACUGUGAGCCCUGGUGACUCCAGAGGCAAAGGAAAGGCUCUUUCUGAUCAUGCUGAGACAAAGAUGCAGCAGAAUCACCCAUGGGACUUCCUAAUCAAGGAUGGUCACACUCUGCCCCUGAAGACUGUGAUUUGGCAGCUACACAUUCCUACCUGCUGUGAAAUAAACCCAGCCUUCCUACCAGGGUCUGUUGAUUCAGCUUUGCCGUCUGGAGCAGUCUAGCAUUCACAGCCUGAACGGAAUAAUGCUGCUUUGGUCAGAGGCUCUGCCGGGAGCAAAGUUUGCGGUGCUGGUUCUUAAACUACUGCUACCAUGAGACUGACCAAAAUUGGGGACUUGGAUUCCAGAGCCCCUGCUUUUGACCGAGAGACCUCCCAGCUAAGAGCUAGAAUUCAUAAGAAUGUGUUAGAUCUCAGUGCUAGAACAUAUGAGCCAAAUUGCAUUUCGUGUCUCCAUCUUCCACUGUCUAUUAUUUAAGGAAAACCAGCUGCUUACUACUGCAAUAAGGUUCUCUGCAUUCCCUUUGCCUCACCAGACCUUCACAUGACCUGUCAACCGCUACGUGUAUUAUCACCUCCUCAGAUAGCCUUCCCUGCCCACGCUGUUGACACGGGGCUGCCCAGUAGACACAUCAGGUCUUUGAAAUCUGGCACGUUUCUUCAGGACAUCUCAAUUUGGACGAACUACAUUGCGACCGGUGGCUACUGUACUGGACCACACAGACUUAAAAUAACACCCCACCUCCAGCCACUCUCUAUCACAUUACUCUGAUUUAUCAUUAUUGGAAGAUUUAUUUGUGUUUGAAAUCAUCCUAUUUGUUUAUUUACUUGUAUAUUAUCUCUCCCUCCAUCCCUUAUGAACCCCCUGCCCUGAAAUGAAAAGUCUAAAGGACCAGGGGCUUCUUUUUAUUCUUUGCUGUAUCCACAGAGCUUAGUAUAUUGCCAGUUUUCAGUAAAUAUUUGUUGGAAGUUUGAUGAAUAAGAAACUGAUGUGCUGUUAAAACAAUGAGUCCAUGUGGCUUUUGCUUUUUGAGUCUUCCCUCCCUCGUGCUAGGUUUCAGGUCAGUGGAAGAAAUAAUGACCACACUUUGCUGUCCCUUUUCCCCUUCCCCAUCCAUGUCCUCCUGUAACUCUCCUGUGUUGUCUGUAUCCUACCAAUUUUCUGAUACAUGACUGUUUUCUUAAGAGAAAGCACUUUCCAGUCCACUGUUAAAGCUGCUCUCAAGUUAGCAUUCAACUCGUACUAAGCAGGAGAAAAAAAAAAAAAAAGCAAACAUCUGGACUUUCUCUUCUUUCCCCUACUAACGAUUAUAAGAUUUUUUCAGAAGGUAGUCAGGCUGUAACUUGUAUUUAUUAUACUUUCAGUCAAUGGGAGGAAACCCUGGAUCUGUGAUUAGCUGUAGGCCUUGUGGAAACUGCCCUGAGGCCCGGAGGUCUGGAGGUUUCCUUCCACUGCUCCUCUAGAUGUGACCCAGUCUUGCCUGUGUGACAGUGGUCAAGGGCUCCAGAUUUGCCUGUGCUCAUUUCCUCCAUCUGUCAAAGGAAAGUCACAAUCGUUGCUUAUUUCCAGUAUAAGACUAUAGAGAAAAAUCAAUUAAAAUUUUUUCUUAAAAAAAAGGCUAUAGAGAAAAUAACCAGAAAGUAUAUUAUGCCCAGUAAUGAAAAGCAUUGUUGCUGUUCAUACAAAGCAAUAGGUACUGACCUGGUACCUAGGAUUCUGUUCUAAACGCAGGUAUCACAAUAAAAAUGGUUAGAGUCUUAGAGACUGGGUCAGUAUGUGAGGUAAAUGGUAAAAUGCAAGUGGGGUUUGAAAAGAAUUCUUACCCUUUCUACAGUUAGAGAAGUUUGUGGAAAGAGAAAAGUUUCUGCAAGCUUGUUUUGGCAUUUAAUUACCUUGGCAUAAAACUACUCCUGGGUGAAACAUAAUGAAGAGAAAGUUGACCCAAUUCAACCCAUCCUCUACAUACCAUUUUCUCUCUCUCUCCCCUGGCUUAUUGAAAUUGUGCUCCAGAAUAAACUUGGCUAUGGUUUAUUCACAAAACCUAAAUAAGGGUUGUCACAUUUAAGAAUGUUGAGCUCUCAAUUCAGAAUUCACUCAUUCAUUUAAAAAAAUAUGUACCGUGCACCUACUAUGUAUAAAAAGAGUUGAAAUGCAAACAUAAAUAAGACCCUCAGGGGGCUUCCAUUUCAGCAGAUAAUACAUUCAUUAAACAGCAAUUUCUGUGAUUAAUUAUUCAAUUACAAUCAUAAUGAGUACCUUGAGGUGGUGUGAAAAGAUUUAAUGGAGUCCUGAUUUAGUCUUCCCCCCAAAGUGUCUGGUCAGAUAAAUCCCGAGAGGAGGGUUUAGUGGGCGAAGGGGGUUAGGGAGAUUUUCAGGCGGAGGGAGCAGCAGGUGUCAAUGUACUGAGAUAGGAGGAACCUGGCAGAGGCACCAGAAUAAGCAAUGGCUAGCUUAUAAAUAAGCAAUGCUCCCCCAAAGGGCUCCCCGAUGGGAGCGAGCUAAGAGAGGAACAAGGGGCUAAGACAGCAACAAGGCCCAGAGCCCAGAGUCUCUUCUGUUCUCCCCAACAGGGCCAACUAUAACCGAUUGCUUGAUCCUCUCUAUUCAUUGACUUAGCUUUUUAGCACCUACUUCUUAUGUUAAGCCCUCAAAGGUUGUGGCUUUCCCAUGCGCCAUGAGCAGAUGUACAAAUCCCUCUAUACUCUUGUCUGGAGGAUUCCUGUGCUGAGUCAUCUGCUGCAGUAGCAGACGAGAAGCACCAGGGGACAGAAAGCCUUCUCCUCUGUUUGCUUUGGUAGAACACAACAUGAUGAAAAUGUACACUAAUUCGAUCUAAAAUGUUGAAUGAAGAAUUAGCAAGUGUGGCUACUACCAGGUUCUGAGCUCACUACCUCUCUAAUCUUGGCCGAGCAUCACAAAAACAAACAAGCAAAAUUUUUAGUGAGUUUACUGAGUAUGAUUUAAUGUGCUCAGAAUUAAGCCAGGAAGCUUAACUAACAUGUCUUAAUGAAGCUGUGGCAGACACACGAUGAUGGUGGAAAAACAAACAAUCAAGGGCCAUUUGAGGGGACUUCUCAAAACCUGGUACCAGGAAGCAAAAAAGUUCAGUUUUCAGCUCUCUUUCAAGACUGCUUCUACAUCGGAAUUAGGGUUGGCAGGAGACCUUAAGAGAGAUGUAGAAGGUUUUAAAUGUGCAAUCAGUUGGGCCAAUGCAAUUCGAGAGUUGCUAUGCUGUUAAUAGGAAGACAGUGCACCUUCCACUGGAUGGAAGUUAUAUUCAGUCUCACCAGGUUUAUGCUAAACUUCUGGCAGCUAUGUUUCCAACACAUGAUACCUAUGGGGAAAACAGAAAAAUAGACAAGGGUACUCAUCACUACAAAUAGGUCAUGGACUGGGUAGCAUUAGCCUCACAUUGAUCUCGUCUUCCUGAUUGCUGCAGAUGGAAGUCUCAUGCCAGCCACGCGUCAAACCAAAUAAUUAGCAGAUGUCACCAAUGGUAAUCUCCUGAUGUUUAAAAAUGGAACAAGUGGGGCUUCCCUGGUGGCGCAGUGGUUGAGAGUCCGC